rnacentral:rRNA from 1 species
UACGGAGGGGGCUAGCGUUGUUCGGAAUUACUGGGCGUAAAGCGCACGUAGGCGGACGUGUAAGUCAGGGGUGAAAUCCCGAGGCUCAACCUCGGAACUGCCUUUGAUACUGCAAGUCUUCGAGUCCGGAAGAGGUGAGUGGAAUUCCUAGUGUAGAGGUGAAAUUCGUAGAUAUUAGGAAGAACACCAGUGGCGAAGGCGGCUCACUGGUCCGGUACUGACGCUGAGGUGCGAAAGCGUGGGGAGCAAACAGG